rnacentral:rRNA from 1 species
GAUGAACGCUAGCGGCAGGCCUAAUACAUGCGAGUCGAACGAUAGAAGAGGGCUUGCUCUCUUCGAAAGUGGCGCACGGGUGCGUAACGCGUAUGCAACCUACCUUAAUCAGGGGGAUAGCCCGAAGAAAUUCGGAUUAACACCGCCUAAAAUCACAGUACAGCAUUGUACAAUGAUCAAAUAUUUAUAGGAUUAAGAUGGGCAUGCGUGACAUUAGCUAGUUGGCGGGGUAACGGCCCACAAAGGCGACGAUGUCUAGAGGAUCUGAGAGGAUGACCCCCCACACUGGUACUGAGACACGGACCAGAAGCCUACGAGAGGCAGCAGUAAGGAAUAUUGGUCAAUGGAGGCAACUCUGAACCAGCCAUGCCGCGUGCAGGAAGACAGCCCUCUGGGUCGUAAACUGCUUUUAUUCGGGAAUAAACCUACUUACGUGUAAGUAGCUGAAUGUACCGAAGGAAUAAGGAUCGGCUAACUCCGUGCCAGCCGCCGCAGUAA